AAUGAACGUUGGCGGCAUGGAUUAGGCAUGCAAGUCGAGCGGGCGUAGCAAUACGUCAGCGGCGUAAGGGGCAGGAACACGUAGAUUACCUGCCCUCGGGUCUGGGAUAGCCACGGGAAACUGUGGGUAAUACCAGAUGAUAUCUCCGGAUCAAAGGUGUGAUUCCGCCCGAGGAUGGGUCUGCGUCCUAUUAGCUAGUUGGUGAGGUAAUGGCUCACCAAGGCGAUGAUGGGUAGCAGGUGUGAGAGCACGACCUGCGUCAUUGGGACUGAGACACUGCCCAGAAACCUACGGGUGGCUGCAGUCGAGAAUUUUUGGCAAGGGGCGAAAGCCUGACCAAGCGAUGCCGCGUGCGGGAUGAAGGCCUUCGGGUUGUAAACCGCUGUCAGUGGGGAGGAAAGCUUUGUGAAGAGCAAGGCUUGACCUAUCCGCAGAGGAAGUGUGGGCUAAGUUCGUGCCAGCAGCCGCCGUAA
rnacentral:rRNA from 1 species